rnacentral:rRNA from 1 species
ACCAACAGGGAUUGCCCCAGUAACGGCGAGUGAAGCGGCAACAGCUCAAAUUUGAAAUCUGGCCCCCGGGUCCGAGUUGUAAUUUGCAGAGGAUGCUUCGGGCGAGGUGCCUUCCGAGUUCCCUGGAACGGGACGCCACAGAGGGUGAGAGCCCCGUCUGGUCGGACACCGAGCCCGUGUGAAGCUCCUUCGAAGAGUCGAGUAGUUUGGGAAUGCUGCUCAAAAUGGGAGGUAUAUGUCUUCUAAAGCUAAAUAUUGGCCAGAGACCGAUAGCGCACAAGUAGAGUGAUCGAAAGAUGAAAAGCACUUUGAAAAGAGGGUUAAAAAGUACGUGAAAUUGUUGAAAGGGAAGCGCCCAUGACCAGACUUGGGCCCGGUGAAUCACCCGGCGUUCUCGCCGGUGCACUUUGCCGGGCACAGGCCAGCAUCAGUUUGGCGCGGGGGACAAAGGCUUCGGGAACGUGGCUCCCUCGGGAGUGUUAUAGCCCGCUGCGUAAUACCCUGCGCCGGACUGAGGUACGCGCAUCGCAAGGAUGCUGGCGUAAUGGUCAUCAGCGACCCGUCUUGAAACACGGACCAAGGAGUCGUCUUCGUAUGCGAGUGUUCGGGUGUCAAACCCCUACGCGGAAUGAAAGUGAACGCAGGUGAGAGCUUCGGCGCAUCAUCGACCGAUCCUGAUGUUCUCGGAUGGAUUUGAGUAAGAGCAUACGGGGCCGGACCCGAAAGAAGGUGAACUAUGCCUGUAUAGGGUGAAGCCAGAGGAAACUCUGGUGGAAGCUCGCAGCGGUUCUGACGUGCGAAUCGAUCGUCAAAUAUGGGCAUGGGGGCGAAAGACUAAUCGAACCUU